AAUCCAUAGGUUAAUGAGGCGAACCGGGGGAACUGAAACAUCUAAGUACCCCGAGGAAAAGAAAUCAACCGAGAUUCCCCCAGUAGCGGCGAGCGAACGGGGAGGAGCCCAGAGCCUGAAUCAGCAUGUGUGUUAGUGGAAGCGUCUGGAAAGGCGCGCGAUACAGGGUGACAGCCCCGUACACAAAAGCGCAUGUGCUGUGAGCUCGAUGAGUAGGGCGGGACACGUGGUAUCCUGUCUGAAUAUGGGGGGACCAUCCUCCAAGGCUAAAUACUCCUGACUGACCGAUAGUGAACCAGUACCGUGAGGGAAAGGCGAAAAGAACCCCGGCGAGGGGAGUGAAAAAGAACCUGAAACCGUGUACGUACAAGCAGUGGGAGCACAGGUUUACCUGUGUGACUGCGUACCUUUUGUAUAAUGGGUCAGCGACUUAUAUUCUGUAGCAAGGUUAACCGAAUAGGGGAGCCGGAGGGAAACCGAGUCUUAAUUGGGCGUUAAGUUGCAGGGUAUAGACCCGAAACCCGGUGAUCUAGCCAUGGGCAGGUUGAAGGUUGGGUAACACUAACUGGAGGACCGAACCGACUAAUGUUGAAAAAUUAGCGGAUGACCUGUGGCUGGGGGUGAAAGGCCAAUCAAACCGGGAGAUAGCUGGUUCUCCCCGAAAGCUAUUUAGGUAGCGCCUCGUGAAUUCAUCUCCGGGGGUAGAGCACUGUUUCGGCUAGGGGGCCAUCCCGGCUUACCAACCCGAUGCAAACUGCGAAUACCGGAGAAUGUUAUCACGGGAGACACACGGCGGGUGCUAACGUCCGUCGUGAAGAGGGAAACAACCCAGACCGCCAGCUAAGGUCCCAAAGUCAUGGUUAAGUGGGAAACGAUGUGGGAAGGCCCAGACAGCCAGGAUGUUGGCUUAGAAGCAGCCAUCAUUUAAAGAAAGCGUAAUAGCUCACUGGUCGAGUCGGCCUGCGCGGAAGAUGUAACGGGGCUAAACCAUGCACCGAAGCUGCGGCAGCGACACUGUGUGUUGUUGGGUAGGGGAGCGUUCUGUAAGCCUGUGAAGGUGUGUCGUGAGGCAUGCUGGAGGUAUCAGAAGUGCGAAUGCUGACAUAAGUAACGAUAAAGCGGGUGAAAAGCCCGCUCGCCGGAAGACCAAGGGUUCCUGUCCAACGUUAAUCGGGGCAGGGUGAGUCGACCCCUAAGGCGAGGCCGAAAGGCGUAGUCGAUGGGAAACGGGUUAAUAUUCCCGUACUUGGUGUUACUGCGAAGGGGGGACGGAGAAGGCUAUGUUGGCCGGGCGACGGUUGUCCCGGUUUAAGCGUGUAGGUGUGUGUUCCAGGUAAAUCCGGUUCACUUUAACACUGAGGCGUGACGACGAGGCACUACGGUGCUGAAGCAACAAAUGCCCUGCUUCCAGGAAAAGCCUCUAAGCAUCAGGUAACAUCAAAUCGUACCCCAAACCGACACAGGUGGUCAGGUAGAGAAUACCAAGGCGCUUGAGAGAACUCGGGUGAAGGAACUAGGCAAAAUGGUGCCGUAACUUCGGGAGAAGGCACGCUGACACGUAGGUGAAGUGAUUUACUCAUGGAGCUGAAGUCAGUCGAAGAUACCAGCUGGCUGCAACUGUUUAUUAAAAACACAGCACUGUGCAAACACGAAAGUGGACGUAUACGGUGUGACGCCUGCCCGGUGCCGGAAGGUUAAUUGAUGGGGUCAGCGCAAGCGAAGCUCCUGAUCGAAGCCCCGGUAAACGGCGGCCGUAACUAUAACGGUCCUAAGGUAGCGAAAUUCCUUGUCGGGUAAGUUCCGACCUGCACGAAUGGCGUAAUGAUGGCCAGGCUGUCUCCACCCGAGACUCAGUGAAAUUGAACUCGCUGUGAAGAUGCAGUGUACCCGCGGCAAGACGGAAAGACCCCGUGAACCUUUACUAUAGCUUGACACUGAACAUUGAGCCUUGAUGUGUAGGAUAGGUGGGAGGCUUUGAAGUGUGGACGCCAGUCUGCAUGGAGCCGACCUUGAAAUACCACCCUUUAAUGUUUGAUGUUCUAACGUGGACCCGUUACCCGGGUUGCGGACAGUGUCUGGUGGGUAGUUUGACUGGGGCGGUCUCCUCCUAAAGAGUAACGGAGGAGCACGAAGGUUGGCUAAUCCUGGUCGGACAUCAGGAGGUUAGUGCAAUGGCAUAAGCCAGCUUGACUGCGAGCGUGACGGCGCGAGCAGGUGCGAAAGCAGGUCAUAGUGAUCCGGUGGUUCUGAAUGGAAGGGCCAUCGCUCAACGGAUAAAAGGUACUCCGGGGAUAACAGGCUGAUACCGCCCAAGAGUUCAUAUCGACGGCGGUGUUUGGCACCUCGAUGUCGGCUCAUCACAUCCUGGGGCUGAAGUAGGUCCCAAGGGUAUGGCUGUUCGCCAUUUAAAGUGGUACGCGAGCUGGGUUUAGAACGUCGUGAGACAGUUCGGUCCCUAUCUGCCGUGGGCGCUGGAGAACUGAGGGGGGCUGCUCCUAGUACGAGAGGACCGGAGUGGACGCAUCACUGGUGUUCGGGUUGUCAUGCCAAUGGCACUGCCCGGUAGCUAAAUGCGGAAGAGAUAAGUGCUGAAAGCAUCUAAGCACGAAACUUGCCCCGAGAUGAGUUCUCCCUGAGACUUAGAGUCUCCUGAAGGAACGUUGAAGACGACGACGUUGAUAGGCCGGGUGUGUAAGCGCAGCGAUGCGUUGAGCUAACCGGUACUAAUGAACCGUGAGGCUUAACCUUACAACGCCGAAG
rnacentral:rRNA from 1 species